rnacentral:rRNA from 1 species
AAACUAACAAGGAUUCCCCUAGUAGCGGCGAGCGAAGCGGGAAGAGCUCAAAUUUGUAAUCUGGCGCUUUCGGCGUCCGAGUUGUAAUCUCUAGAAGUGUUUUCCGCGUUGGACCGCACACAAGUCUGUUGGAAUACAGCGGCACAGUGGUGAGACCCCCGUUCACGGUGCGGAUGCCCAAUGCUUUGUGAUACACUUUCGAAGAGUCGAGUUGUUUGGGAAUGCAGCUCAAAUUGGGUGGUAAAUUCCAUCUAAAGCUAAAUAUUGGCGAGAGACCGAUAGCGAACAAGUACCGUGAGGGAAAGAUGAAAAGCACUUUGGAAAGAGAGUUAACAGUACGUGAAAUUGUUGGAAGGGAAACGCUUGAAGUCAGACUUGCUAUUCGGGCAACCGAGUUGCAGGCCAGCAUCAGUUUUUCGGGGCGGAAAAUCACGGUUAGAAGGUAGCAGUUUCGGCUGUGUUAUAGCUUUCCGUUGGAUACGUCCUGGGGGACUGAGGAACGCAGCGUGCUUUUUGCAGGAGCUUCGGCUUCAUCACGCUUAGGAUGCUGGUGUAAUGGCUUUAAACGAC